CCUACGGGAGGCAGCAGUAGGGAAUCUUGCGCAAUGGGCGAAAGCCUGACGCAGCCAUGCCGCGUGAAUGAUGAAGGUCUUAGGAUUGUAAAAUUCUUUCACCGGGGACGAUAAUGACGGUACCCGGAGAAGAAGCCCCGGCUAACUUCGUGCCAGCAGCCGCGGUAAUACGAAGGGGGCUAGCGUUGCUCGGAAUUACUGGGCGUAAAGGGCGCGUAGGCGGAUAGUUUAGUCAGAGGUAAAAGCCCAGGGCUCAACCUUGGAACUGCCUUUGAUACCGGCUAUCUUGAGUACGGGAGAGGUGUGUGGAACUCCGAGUGUAGAGGUGAAAUUCGUAGAUAUUCGGAAGAACACCAGUGGCGAAGGCGACACACUGGCCCGUUACUGACGCUGAGGCGCGAAAGCGUGGGGAGCAAACAGGAUUAGAUACCCUGGUAGUCCACGCCGUAAACGAUGAGUGCUAGUUGUCGGCAUGCAUGCAUGUCGGUGACGCAGCUAACGCAUUAAGCACUCCGCCUGGGGAGUACGGUCGCAAGAUUAAAACUUAAAGGAAUUGACGG
rnacentral:rRNA from 1 species